UACGAAGGGGGCUAGCGUUGUUCGGAAUUACUGGGCGUAAAGGGCGCGUAGGCGGUGAUCUUUGUCAGAGGUGAAAGCCCGGGGCUCAACUCCGGAAUUGCCUUUGAAACGGGAUUGCUUGAGUCCGAGAGAGGAUGGCGGAAUUCCUAGUGUAGAGGUGAAAUUCGUAGAUAUUAGGAAGAACACCGGUGGCGAAGGCGGCCAUCUGGCUCGGUACUGACGCGUGAUGCGCGAAAGCGUGGGGAGCAACAGGG
rnacentral:rRNA from 1 species